rfam:Moniliophthora roreri strain MCA 2952 kmer90.96030, whole genome shotgun sequence.
GGCUGCCUGGCGAAAUGGCAUCGCGUCUGACUACGAUGGAGUAUCCAUAAGCAUCAGGAGAUUGCAGGUUCGACCCCUGCGGUGGUCA